GUAGGUGGCAAGCGUUGUCCGGAAUUAUUGGGCGUAAAGCGCGCGCAGGCGGUUCGUUUAAGUCUGAUGUGAAAGCCCACGGGCUCAACCGUGGAGGGUCAUUGGAAACUGGAGAACUUGAGUACAGAAGAGGAAAGCGGAAUUCCACGUGUAGCGGUGAAAUGCGUAGAGAUGUGGAGGAACACCAGUGGCGAAGGCGGCUUUCUGGUCUGUAACUGACGCUGAGGCGCGAAAGCGUGGGGAGCAAACAGGAUUAGAUACCCUGGUAGUCCACGCCGUAAACGAUGAGUGCUAAGUGUUACGGGGGUUUCCGCCCCUUAGUGCUGCAGCUAACGCAUUAAGCACUCCGCCUGGGGAGUACGGCCGCAAAGGCUG
rnacentral:rRNA from 1 species